UAAGAAGCGGAUUGUUGCCGAGGACGCGUUCAGCUGUCAGAGAUAACGCAACUCAGCCUGCUCUUACCUGGAGUUUCACUACCAUGGACUUAACCGAGGAUAGCGCUGUGGAAAUGAUCCUGCGCUGACCCACUUCCUCACGCGGUCCUUUCCCUCUCUGUCUUUGACGCCUUCUUUCAUUUCUGUCAGGUGUAGUCAAACCUGAGGAACCAUGUCGGACAAGAUGUCCAGUUUCCUCCAUAUUGGGGACAUUUGUUCCCUGUAUGCAGAGGGCUCCACCUGUGGAUUUAUCAGCACUUUAGGGCUUGUGGAUGACCGCUGUGUGGUACAACCGGACACAGGCGACCUCAACAACCCACCCAAGAAAUUCAGAGGUAAGGCCUCAAAAUCCAUUACAGUUUAAGUGUACUAUUAUAAACAGUAUUUUUCUAAUGUCACUGUUGUAGUUUUCAGCAGAUUGGG